rnacentral:rRNA from 1 species
UACGUAGGCAGCAAGCGUUGUUCGGAGUUACUGGGCGUAAAGGGUGUGUAGGCGGUUCUUUAAGUUUGGUGUGAAAUCUCCCGGCUCAACCGGGAGGGUGCGCCGAAAACUGAAGGGCUAGAGUGCGGGAGAGGAGAGUGGAAUUCCUGGUGUAGCGGUGAAAUGCGCAGAUAUCAGGAAGAACACCCGUGGCGAAGGCGGCUCUCUGGGACGGUACUGACGCUGAGACGCGAAAGCGUGGGGAGCAAACAGG